GACGAACGCUGGAGGCGUGCUUAACACAUGCAAGUCGAACGAUGAAAUGGAGCUUGCUCCAUGGAUUAGUGGCGAACGGGUGAGUAACACGUGAAUAACCUGCCCUUAAUUUUGGAAUAACCCAGGGAAACCUGGGCUAAUACCGGAUAAGUAAACCUGUGGCAUCACAAGGUUUUGGAAAGUUUUUCGAUUAAGGAUGGAUUCGCGGCCUAGCAGCUUGUUGGUGAGGUAAUGGCUCACCAAGGCGACGACGGGUAGCCGGCCUGAGAGGGUGAACGGCCACACUGGGACUGAGAGACGGCCCAGACUCGUACGGGAGGCAGCAGUGGGGAAUAUUGCGCAAUGGACGAAAGUCUGGCGCAGCGACGCCUCGUGAGGGACGAAGGUCUUCGGAUUGUAAACCUCUUUCAGCAGGGACGAAGCGAAAGUGACGGUACCUGAAGAAGAAGCACCGGCUAACUAUGUGCCAGCCGCCGCAGUAA
rnacentral:rRNA from 1 species